UACGAAGGGGGCUAGCGUUGCUCGGAAUCACUGGGCGUAAAGCGCACGUAGGCGGAUUGUUAGGUCAGGGGUGAAAUCCUGGAGCUCAACUCCAGAACUGCCUUUGAUACUGGCGAUCUCGAGUCCGGGAGAGGUGAGUGGAACUGCGAGUGUAGAGGUGAAAUUCGUAGAUAUUCGCAAGAACACCAGUGGCGAAGGCGGCUCUCUGGUCUGUAACUGACGCUGAGGCGCGAAAGCGUGGGGAGCGAACAGG
rnacentral:rRNA from 1 species